UACGAAGGGGGCUAGCGUUGUUCGGAAUUACUGGGCGGAAAGGGCGCGCAGGCGGUUCCUCAAGUCAGGCGUGAAAGCCCCGGGCUCAACCUGGGAAUGGCGAUGGAUACUGGCGGGCUAGAGUGCGGUAGAGGGUGGUGGAAUUCCCGGUGUAGCAGUGAAAUGCGUAGAGAUCGGGAGGAACAUCAGUUGCGAAGGCGGCCACCUGGACCAGCACUGACACUGAGGCACGAAAGCGUGGGGAGCAAACAGG
rnacentral:rRNA from 1 species